rnacentral:lncRNA from 1 species
CCCACGUGCUCCCCUUGUUCAUCCACAAUAACUGCUUUCUCUUGCAAGUCGGGCCAGUGACUUUGUGUUUAGAAUAUGGAAUCGAAAUUAUGAACAGAUAUUUGCUUCCAGGUCCCUGAAUGCCUGAGUGGGAGGCCAAGGGCCGCGGAGGGAGUAUAAAGCUAAGAUUCACUACCCACUGAAGAUCAAAGGCUGGCUGCUGAGAACAACCAGAUUUGGCAGCAUCCAAGAGACCUUGAAAGUGAAUGCUUUGAGCUGGGGGUUGAUGGAGCAAGGAGACAGUGCCCCCGGGGCACGGGCUAUGGACAUCAGCAGCUGGUCAAGGAGAUCAAGCAGGAAGAGCUGGAAGUCCCGGCCAGGUCCCCCAAAGUCUUCCUUCCUGCUGAGGAUCCAGUCUUCAUAGACAGGAAGGUCAGGCCAUGGGCUGAACAUGGGGGAAUGUGGCCACCCCCUGUUUUGUCUGCCUAGGACUCUUUCCCCUUUCCUAGGAUAUGGAUGCCCUCUUCUUUAGGAGAACAAUCCCUUUUGUCCCUUCAAACCCUGUGGUUUUGAUGAGGUCCCCUAUGAUGGUGUCUACCUUUCUGGUCGUGCAAGUGGGCCCAUGAUCCAAGCUGGGCUGACC